ACACACACAUACUUGUAGAGCAUACAAUUGCCGUGCAUACAAAGCAAUAUCAGCCAAGCACUAACGGGAUAAAAGACAGGCAACAAGCUUGACUUGAUAGCAUCAAUUGACAAUUGAAACGAGAAGCAUCCAAGCACAAAACACCAAGCGCGACUGCGACAGUAAGCAAGUGCCUCCCCAAGGAAGGACUAACUGAUUGACUGACUGACUGACUAACUGACUGACUGUCGGUUGUUCUGUUAGAGCUGGAAACCAAAUGGGUAAGCACACGUGUGACAGUAUCUGGCCAUCAUCAUCAUGCCGAGUAAGCCCUGGCUUGGAAGAUCUCAUUAGCACGCAGAGCCGGUUAAACGUUUUGUAAUCAAAUUAAUUGCCCCGCUAGAGAUACUGCCGUGUAUUCAUAAUGCCAAACAAUUUCGCAUUAAUUAAAAGCCAAUAAAAGUGAAUAUUAUCAAGCGUAGCAAGGCGCAGAGACGUCGGACGGACCCACAACACGGCAGCCAAAACUCAAGCUGCCAGCCUGCAGUCAAUUAGUCAGCCAGUCAUCCAGACAGCCGAAUAGGCGGUCAGAGGGUCAGAGCUAGAGCAUUGACCAAACUCAAUUAGUUUUAAUUAAUUGUCGCCGCAACGGUACUUGACCAGCAUACUUCUAGUUUGCGCUGAUUCAGAUGGAUUGGCAGCGUUCAGCUUUAAUGGCGGCUGGCCGGAAGCGAGUCCAGGCAUCGUCAUCAUCGUAAUGGCCCGGACGGUCAGUGCAGUCCUAAGACCUACCAAGGCCCAAAAUGCGGCAGGUUGAGCUUCGAAUCAAGCGUGUCCUGAAUGGCAGCAAAGUCACGGCUAACUGAACCCAACUGGGCCCAUCAAAUAUUUACAUAUAUGUUACAGCGUAUGUCACGGCGUCAACUGUCGGCGUCUAUAUAUCGAUUAAAUUGGCCUGGGGCCGACAAAAGUUA